AAUUUUAGAUAUUCAAUUCCUUCACAAAUCCCGGCCUUCAUCGUCCAAAACCCCUGUGCAUGCGUGAAGGCUUCCUUUUCCAGUUUCUGGCCCUUCAACCUCAUUCCAGCCCUCCACUUUCUCUCUCCAAACUCUUCUCGGAGAGAGAGACAUAGAGAGAGAGGCUAAAAACAAUAUCUAUAUACCUUCUUUCCACAUUAUUUCAUGACAAGUAAUGCAUUCCAACAUUUUCAAGAAUUCACAAUAUAUAAUGUUAGUAUUGAUGUGAUAAUAUUUUCGGAUGAUUUAAAUAAUGAAAGACAAAGACUACUAAAAUUUGAUAUAGAAAAAAUCAUCUCUAUUCCUUCAUUUUGUGAUAAAUUUCUUGUUCUACAGUGUAACAGGAGAAACUAAUUUGUCAGACACACACAAAAAUAAAAGAUGGAUUUCUUCCUUAGAGCAAGCACGGUGAGGCUGAUCAGCUACAACGACAGAUUCCUCGUCGCCGACGCCGUCGGCGUCAGCCACGGCACCGACCGAUACGCGAG
rnacentral:lncRNA from 1 species